UAAUAGCUCAGUUGGCUAGAGCGUGGUGCUGUUAAUGCCAAGGUUGCCGGUUCAAUCCCCAUACGGGACAG